rnacentral:rRNA from 1 species
UGCAAGUCGAACGAUGAAGCUGGAGCUUGCUCUGGUGGAUUAGUGGCGAACGGGUGAGUAACACGUGAGUAACCUGCCCUGGACUCUGGGAUAACCCCGAGAAAUCGGAGCUAAUACCGGAUAGGACCUUGCACCGCAUGGUGUGGGGUGGAAAGUUUUUUCGGUCUGGGAUGGACUCGCGGCCUAUCAGCUUGUUGGUGAGGUAAUGGCUCACCAAGGCGUCGACGGGUAGCCGGCCUGAGAGGGUGACCGGCCACACUGGGACUGAGACACGGCCCAGACUCCUACGGGAGGCAGCAGUGGGGAAUAUUGCACAAUGGGCGCAAGCCUGAUGCAGCAACGCCGCGUGCGGGAUGACGGCCUUCGGGUUGUAAACCGCUUUUAGUAAGGAAGAAGGGGCUUCGGCCUUGACGGUACUUGCAGAAAAAGGACCGGCUAACUACGUGCCAGCAGCCGCGGUAAUACGUAGGGUCCGAGCGUUGUCCGGAAUUAUUGGGCGUAAAGAGCUCGUAGGCGGUUUGUCGCGUCUG